CCCGAGGUCGCUCCAGCAGCCCGGCCUCACGCGACCCACCAUUCCUGCCGCCCCCUCACGGUACCCGCCAUUCCCGCCGCCGGGCUCUCUAACCGGGCCCCUAGUUCCCCGCCCCGUGCCCUCUGAAGACCUGCAGCUCCUGCUGCCCUGCGCCCGCUCCCAGGGCCCGUCGUUCCGUCGCCCUAUCCCCCCUCACGGGGCCCCUAGCUGCCUCCUCGCCACCCUUUCCCGACUUGGCCUGCCCACUCCCGCCCGCUAACCCGCCUGGCUCCGGGCCGAGGGCUCUCGCGCGGCUCUGGUUCCUGUUCCUCUAACGCCGGCGGGGCUGCGGAAUAUCGACUCCGCAGGCCGCCCAGACCCGGAACUGCUGAGGCAGCAGCGGGCUCGCGGCGCUUGGCUCAUCCCGGGAUUCCCCAGCGCUGGCGCUGGGCCCGCCGCGUUCGCACCAAGCACGCCAGGCGGCCCUGCCCGAGCUCCCUCCCGCCUCCCGGCAGCUGGCACCCGGGGCCCCGGCCGUCAGGUUUCCCCUGGGAUCCCGGGACGGUAUCAGGCGGGGUAUCUGUGCGGCCGCGGCGAGGUGGGUGAGGUGAGGCGGGGCGAGGUGGGUGAGGUGGGCGAGGUGAGGCGGGGCGGGUGUUGUCGCGCUGGGCCGAGCUUACGACUCCAGCUGACCCGCUCGCGGCUGCCCAAUUUCGUUGAGGCUCAGGACGACGGUCGGGGCGGCAAAUCGUCACAGAGGUCGCCGUAGACCGGGGUGCAACCGAAGGUGAAGAGCGGGAAGGCGAGGACCGAAUCGCCUCUGGUGUGCGUUGUCCGACAGGAAGUCCCGAAUGGGCUGUGAGCGGCCGAUGGAGGUGCCCGGGCAGGUGCAGAGCCACAGCCUGCGCCCCGUGAGUCGAGGCGGGUGAUUUAUUUGGCAUAAAAGUAUUCCUCCGAGGAUGGCAGAAGCCGUUUUGAUUGAUCUUUUCGGUUUGAAAUUGAACUCUCAAAAAAACUGCCAUCACACAUUACUGAAGACUUUGAAUGCUGUCCAAUACCACCAUGCUGCCAAGGCCAAGUUUCUUUGUAUAAUGUGUUGCAGUAACAUCAGCUAUGAAGGGGAUGGAGAACAAGAUAAUUGUGAAUUAGAAACAAGCAAUGGAUUAUCAGCUCUCUUGGAAGAAUUUGAGAUUGUUAGCUGUCCCAGCAUGGCUGCCUCUUUGUAUACCAUUAAACAGAAAAUUGAUGAAAGAAAUCUGAGCAGGAUUAAGGUAAUUGUACCCAGGCACAGGAAGACAUUAAUGAAAGCUUUUAUUGAUCAACUCUUCACUGAUGUUUACAAUUUUGAAUUUGAAGAUUUGCAAGUGACUUUGAGGGGAGGCCUUUUUAAACAGUCUAUUGAAAUAAACAUAAUCACAGCUCAAGAACUAAGAGAAAUUCAGAAUGAAAUACAAACAUUUUUGAGAAGUCUGCCAGCACUGAGAGGAGAAUUAACUAUUAUCACUUCUCCUUUGAUCCCAGAUAUUUUCAUACAUGGAUUUACUACAAGAACAGGUGGGAUAUCUUAUAUACCAACUCUUAGCUCAUUCAAUCUCUUCAGUAGUUCCAAACGGAGAGAUCCCAAGGUAGUGGUUCAAGAAAAUCUGCGUAGGUUGGCGAAUGCUGCAGGAUUUAAUGUGGAGAAAUUUUACCGAAUAAAGACUCAUCAUUCCAAUGACAUCUGGAUUAUGGGAAGAAAGGAGCCUGACUCUUAUGAUGGAAUAACCACAAAUCAGAGAGGAGUCACAAUAGCAGCUCUUGGUGCAGACUGUAUACCGAUAGUUUUUGCAGAUCCAGUCAAAAAAGCAUGUGGGGUUGCUCACGCUGGUUGGAAAGGUACUUUGUUGGGUGUUGCUAUGGCUACAGUGAAUGCUAUGAUAGCAGAAUAUGGCUGCAGUUUGGAAGACAUUGUUGUUGUACUUGGACCUUCAGUAGGACCUUGCUGUUUUACUCUUCCAAGAGAAUCAGCAGAGGCAUUUCAUAAUCUUCAUCCUGCAUGUGUACAACUAUUUGAUUCACCAAAUCCCUAUAUUGACAUCCGUAAAGCCACAAGAUACUUGACUGGAUUUUUGUAUAACUGCUUCCUGCCUCCUUCCAAACUGACUGCAAGAGAGAAAUUUGGCUGUUUGACUUACUUAAAACCAAAUGGAUUACAAUGGAUAAUUCAGCUUUAGGGACACACUCACAGUGACCAUCAUGGAUUUUGAAAUGGCCUCCAGACCUUAGCCCAGGACUGCGGGGAAAAGAGGGCAGGAAACCCAAAGGGAAUCCACACGACAAACCAGAUCAAGGACACGGCUAACGGUCAGAGUUGGAAGUUCUGCUGCUGAGACAAGGCGGAAGCCAGGAGGCAGAAACCCAAGAGGAACUAAAGCCAGAAGUCACAGUUAGCAAAAAUUAGGGCCAAAGCACAAGACAAGAAUCAAAGGAGCGAUCACUGUUGAGCAAAACAGUCCAGUGUCAGCAUUCAGACACUGCCCUCAAUGCAAUUUCUGAACACUCUUGGUGCAGCAAUGCUUCUUUAACCCCAACUUGAGGCAGCUCAUGUAGAAAGCAUGUAUUGCUGGGCUUUGGGAGUGUGAUUAAUCUUGGAGGCAAGAGCUUCAACCAGCACUACUACUUGAGGACCUAUGCAGUGUUUGUCUGUGAGCAUGGAAUGACUGAUACUGGCAUCAGAGUUAGGAAUCCACUUUCAAGGAAAAGGGAUGCAGUAGUGGGCACAUGACUAAGAAGUCCACCAAUCCUCUCAUAUACUGCACCACCAGAAGCUGCUGGAUUAGCAGAGCAAAGGCAAAGAUUGACCAGGCCAAGCCCUGAGACACACAGUGUUGAGAACGCAGACAUAAAGUCGUGAAGAUUCAGGUCCAGAGCCCAGCAGGGCACAGGCUGGAGGGGUGAUGUGAGUGAUCAGUAACACCAUGAAGACUCUGCUCCUGGGUCAGGAAUGCUUUUUUGUUCCUGUUUUGGAUUUUCCACCAUGAGCAGCCAAUGCAGAAAGAAAUCUAAAGGUGAAGGAAAGGCAGCGUUCAGCGCUGAGCAAGUCCAUAUUGGAGAAAGUUCGCAGGGAACUGGAAAUCCUUGUCCUCGUGGUUCCUGGCUCAGCAGGAACCCUGUGAGGCCUCUCCCUCUCCUGGGAAAGAGACUGCUCUAGAAGGUUUACUACACCAGUGAGGAGAAGAUGAGCGCAUGGGGGAUUGGCUGGCUGAGGGCGAAAUCAAGGCUGGAGCCAAGUGCGCUGAGCUCUCACAUGAGGUCCUUUGCUCCUGUUCCCUGGAGGCAUAAGUGGCUGGGGUAGAGAGAAACGGGGGUAUUUCUUAUGUCCUUUCUUGCUUAGGGAGUGGGGGUGGAAAUCUCCCUGCAUCUAAGGAAAUUUGAAAAGACGACUAUGGUUGCUUCUUCAAGCAAACCACCUCACCACACUAUCCAAGGGAUAAAACCCACUUGCUGCUGCCAAAUUAUGCCAAGAGAGAACAUUCUGAUCUUUCUCCUCAAUUCUAGGCGUGGCAGUGUGACUUGGUGCUUAAAGGCAUGGAGUUUUGAGUCGCAGACCUAGGUUUGAGUGCUGAAUCUACUAGCUUCAGGGUGUUAAACACAUUUCUUAACCUCUCCAAACCUUAUUUUUCUCCAAGAUUAAAAACUGGGUGUAGUUGUGAGGAUAGUGAAUGCACAUAGUAUGUGCAUUUGGCACAUUAAUUCGCUAUUAUUCUGGACAUAAUUUCUCCUAAGAAAAAGGAUGAACUAAUUGCAAGGCCUAGCCUAAGCUCUGAGAAGUCAUUUGUUAUAGCAUUUCAGUCCAUAGUAAACAAGAAGAAAUGAGGUAAAGAGUUUAAACCAGGGAAGGCAUACCUGUGGUCACCAAACAACCUGUUAAAGGUGAGCUGUAGUCACCAAACCACCUAUUAUGGACUGAAUUGUGUUCCCCAAAUUCAUAUGUUGAAGUCCUAACCCCAAGUACUGAAUGUGACUGUAUUUGGGGAUACAGUCCCUAAAGAAGUCACUCAGCAGGAGGGAGUCAUAUUGGAUUAGGUGUUGGGAAUUGGCUGGCCAAGGGAGAAAUCAAGGCUGGAACCAAAUGCUGAGCUCUCACAUCAGGUCCUUUGCUCCUGAUCCCUGUACCCUAAUCCAGUAUGACUGGCAUCUUUAUAUGAAGAGAAAGAGGCACCAGGGGAUACAUACGCAGAGAAAAGGCCAUAUAUGGACACAGUAAGAUGAUGGACAUCCGUAAGCCAAGGAGGGAAACCUCAGAAGAAACCAAUCUUUCCUGCACCUUGAUCUUGGAGGUCCAGUCUCCAGAACUGUGAAAAAAAUGAACUGGUGUUGUUUAAAUCCCCCAGUCUGUGGUAUUUUGUUGUGGUGGCCCUAGCAGACAAAUAUACAACCCAAAGGAAUAUUCUUUCUGCAUUCUCCCUCUUCCACUUUAUAGUUUUUUCUCCUUUGUUUCUUUCUUUUCCUCUUUUACUCUCCUUUUCUUCUCUUCUCUUUCCUCUUUCCUUUGGUUUUUAAUUCUAAUUUUAAUUUUUGGCCUUCCUGUACCUCCAUUUGCCUUUCCAGGAAGCUGAAUUCCAGACAAUUAACCAUUUAUCUCAUCAGUUCAGCAAAGCAAAUGCCCUCAAUGGUUUCUUUCAUGAUUCGAUUAUUAUAGGAUCAGAAUGUAACUUACUCCUCUGGGAAAAAUGAAACAUAAAAAUUUCAGAAAUAAGAUUUUGGGCCAGCUUCAUUGGUUUUAAGAGAAGGAAGGGAGGAGACUCAAGCAGGUUUGACGCCAAGUAGCACCAUGUCGUUGGGCCUGGCAGGCACUCAAGGCUUUAGGUCUUGGUUUGAAUCCAGACUAGAAAAUCAUUACUUUCUAAAAGCCUUGAGGGUUUGGGUCUAGGAAAGUCUAUGUGAAGAGAUAAUAGUUUGGAAAAAGUUUUGCAGAACUAAAGAAAAGUUUCCACAGUUACCUUUUCUGUCCUAAUGUAGAGCAUCUUUGUUAACUAGGUCUUGGAUCAAUCCAAGCUGUGUCUGAGAAUAACCAUUUAUAAUUUCUCAUCGGCCAGCACUAACACCUUUUAGAAAAGGAACUCAAAGCAGCACUAGCAGCCAGUCAUGCGAUCGUGGUGGGAGUACAGCUCCUCACCAAGGUCAGCUCCUCAGUGAAAUCCAUGCCUUCUGGAGGACUGCUUGUAAAUAAAUACUAAGCACAACCGUUAAAAAAUAAUUUGGCUUUGACCAUCAAAUA